UAGGUUUGUCCUAAGUCAAACUUCUUUAAGUUUGACCAUGUAUGUAGAAAAAUAUAUUAAUAUUAAGAAACAAAUAUAUAUUAUAUGAAAACAUAUUUUAUGAUGAAUGUAAUAAAAUUAACUUGGCGUUGUAGAUGUUGGUAUAUUUUUCAACAGAUUUGGUCAAACUUAAAGAUGUUUGACUUAGGACAAACCUAG
rnacentral:pre_miRNA from 1 species